GACGAACGCUGGCGGCGUGCCUAAUACAUGCAAGUCGAGCGGACGAACCGAAAGCUUGCUUUUGUUUCGUUAGCGGCGGACGGGUGAGUAACACGUGGGCAACCUGCCCUGUAGACGGGGAUAACACCGAGAAAUCGGUGCUAAUACCGGAUAACACGAAAUGUCGCAUGACGCUUCGUUGAAAGACGGCGCAAGCUGUCGCUACAGGAUGGGCCCGCGUCGCAUUAGCUAGUUGGAGAGGUAACGGCUCACCAAGGCGACGAUGCGUAGCCGACCUGAGAGGGUGAUCGGCCACACUGGGACUGAGACACGGCCCAGACUCCUACGGGAGGCAGCAGUAGGGAAUCUUCCGCAAUGGGCGAAAGUCUGACGGAGCAACGCCGCGUGAGCGAAGAAGGCCUUCGGGUCGUAAAGCUCUGUUGUUAGGGAAGAACAAGUAACGCAGUAACUGGCGUUACCGUGACGGUACCUAACGAGAAAGCCACGGCUAACUACGUG
rnacentral:rRNA from 1 species